rnacentral:rRNA from 1 species
GACGAACGCUGGCGGCGUGCUUUACACAUGCAAGUCGAACGGUGAAGGUGGAGCUUGCUCCGCCGGAUCAGUGGCGAACGGGUGAGUAACACGUGGGCAACCUGCCCCUAACUUUGGGAUAACUACUCGAACGAGUAGCUAAUACCGCAUAUCAAGUCUGUAGGCAUCUAUGGUUUUGGAAAGUUUUUCGGUUAGGGAUGGGCCCGCGGCCUGUCAGCUUGUUGGUGAGGUAGUGGCUCACCAAGGCGACGACGGGUAGCCGGCCUGAGAGGGCGACCGGCCACACUGGGACUGAGACACGGCCCAGACUCCUACGGGAGGCAGCAGUGGGGAAUAUUGCGCAAUGGGCGAAAGCCUGACGCAGCAACGCCGCGUGCGGGAUGAAGGCCUUCGGGUUGUAAACCGCUUUCAGCAGGGAAGAAGCGAAAGUGACGGUACCUGCAGAAGAAGCACCGGCUAACUACGUGCCAGCCGCCGCCGUAA